rnacentral:rRNA from 1 species
UACAGAGGGUGCAAGCGUUGUUCGGAAUUAUUGGGCGUAAAGCGCGUGUAGGCGGCUUUGCAAGUCGGGUGUGAAAUCCCUCAGCUUAACUGAGGAAGUGCGCCCGAAACUGCAGAGCUUGAGUACCGGAGAGGGUGGCGGAAUACCCCAAGUAGAGGUGAAAUUCGUAGAUAUGGGGGUGGAACACCGGUGGCGAAGGCGGCCACCUGGACGGAUACUGACGCUGAGACGCGAAAGCGUGGGGAGCAAACAGG